rnacentral:lncRNA from 1 species
GGGAAAUCAUACUGCCACCCCGACACUUUACAAAGAGCUAUCCCACAUAUUACAAAUACCCCGCAAAACUUAUCUACACCCCGUGUUAAGAGCUAUCCCACUCUCUUGGACAAAUAUUUUAGCUGAUUCAAUCAAAGCUGAUUACUUCUUGAACUUUACUAUAGAAGUUUUUCUGCGCAUCCCAACAACAAGAACAAGAACAAAAUCAAUACAAAAAAUUCAAAAGUUUAAUGGAAAACAUCAGUGUGUGUUACUUUGAUGAAAUAAAAUUACCAAUUAAGAGACCAUCCAUAUCGAAAAUAAUGUGAGUAAUGGUUGCUCAUUUGGUUGAGAUUUCACCGUUUGAUGAUUUUGCCAUUCUAAGGUUUGAAGAGACUAAUGAAUAAGAGUUUUCAGCG